GGGGAAUUUUGCACAAUGGGGGAAACCCUGAUGCAGCAACGCCGCGUGAGUGAAGAAGGCCUUCGGGUUGUAAAGCUCUUUAGACAGGGAAGAAGGGCAGUCAGGUAAAUAAUCUGAUUGUUUGACGGUACCUGUAGAAUAAGCACCGGCUAACUCCGUGCCAGCAGCCGCGGUAAUACGGAGGGUGCAAGCGUUGUUCGGAAUUAUUGGGCGUAAAGCGCACGUAGGCGGGGUCGUAUGUCGAUUGUGAAAGCCCCAGGCUCAACCUGGGAAUUGCAGUCGAAACUGCGGCUCUUGAAUAUCUGAGAGGGUGGGGGAAUUGCUGGUGGAGUAGUGAAAUACGUAGAGAUCAGCAGGAACACCUGAGGCGAAGGCGCCUGCCUGGCAGAAUAUUGACGCUGAGGUGCGAAAGCGUGGGGAGCAAAC
rnacentral:rRNA from 1 species